GCUCAGCUUGGUAAUGGGCCGUCACCUCCGGUCUACCGGAGGCGUGCCCCAAAACAGUCGGCAGGACCACGCGGACCGCCGGGCGUAGCAGAUUGUAACGUCCGUGGCGACCGCGCUCCCAGCCGUAAAGCCCAGAGGUCCUCGCGACUUCUACUUCUAAGGUUGACCUCGGAUCAGGUAGGAAUACCCGCUGAACUUAA
rnacentral:misc_RNA from 1 species